AGUGAACGCUGGCGGUAGGCCUAACACAUGCAAGUCGAACGGCAGCACAGUAAGAGCUUGCUCUUACGGUUGGCGAGUGGCGGACGGGUGAGGAAUACAUCGGAAUCUACUUUUUCGUGGGGGAUAACGUAGGGAAACUGACGCUAAUACCGCAUACGUCCUACGGGUGAAAGCAGGGGAUCUUCGGACCUUGCGCGAUUGAAUGAGCCGAUGUCGGAUUAGCUAGUUGGCGUGGUAAAGGCCCACCAAGGCGACGAUCCGUAGCUGGUCUGAGAGGAUGAUCAGCCACACUGGAACUGAGACACGGUCCAGACUCCUACGGGAGGCAGCAGUGGGGAAUAUUGGACAAUGGGCGAAAGCCUGAUCCAGCCAUACCGCGUGGGUGAAGAAGGCCUUCGGGUUGUAAAGCCCUUUUGUUGGGAAAGAAAAGCAGCAGGUUAAUACCCCGCUGUUCUGACGGUACCCAAAGAAUAAGCACCGGCUAACUUCGUG
rnacentral:rRNA from 1 species